GCCCGGAUGGCGGAAUUGGUAGACGCGCUGGUCUCAAACACCAGUGGCAGUAAUGCUGUGCCGGUUCGAUCCCGGCUCCGGGUACUA
rnacentral:tRNA from 1 species